UACGUAGGGUGCAAGCGUUGUCCGGAAUUAUUGGGCGUAAAGGGCUCGUAGGCGGUCCAUCGCGUCGGGAGUGAAAAGCUGGGGCUUAACCCCAGUCCUGCUUCCGAUACGGGCAGACUAGAGGUGAGGCAGGGGAGAGCGGAACUCCUGGUGUAGCGGUGAAAUGCGCAGAUAUCAGGAGGAACACCGGUGGCGAAGGCGGGUCUCUGGGCCGAUACUGACGCUGAGGAGCGAAAGCGUGGGGAGCGAACAGG
rnacentral:rRNA from 1 species